GAGGGGACAGCCCUCCCCUGCGCGUCGGCAGCGCCUGCAGAACCAGCCCCCGCAGCUCCCAGCUCUGCCGCCAGCCAGACCAGACUCAAACAGGCUGCAGCUCGGCUUGCUUACAGCGGCAGAGACCCAUCACCAAAUACGCAGUGUUUAUAAGCAUAUAUAGCUGGUUUGCUUACAUUUUUGAUUUCCUCCUUUUCUACUUUAUGUCAAAACACAUCUGUGGCUCACUGAGCCUCCAGCAUCUCCCCCAGCUGUGUAAGACUCAUUUAAAUUGCAUCAGCUGUGUCUAAUUUUGCCUCCUAUACAAGUGAUUAAAAUAAAUGACAGCUCUUCUCUGAAAAAGGGUAGUCAAUGCUCCCUGGGGCGGAUGCACAGGGCUGGCAGCCCCUGGUCUCCGGCACUGACCGUGCCUGGGCACCCUCCGCCCGGACCACCCCAAGCAGACACAGGAACGGAGCAAGAAAAUGGGGCUUUUCUCUUUCUCAGGACACUUUUCUGCUGGGGAAACACCAGGACCAAGGCCGGGCAGCUUGCUGACCAUUGCCCCUCGCCAUCUCCCCUCUGCGAACAAAAGGCUUUGCUGAGGGAAAGGCUGCUGCCCCCAUUCCCACGGGGAUGAGCCGACCCGCAGCGGUUACUGCGAAGACGCAGCAGAUGCAGAGCAGGGACUUUUCCCCCCCGUUUGGGAUUUCAAUCACAGCCCUCACCCCCCGCCAGCCCAUCAGUGAGGAGGUCACAAUACUGGUCUAAAAUUAAUUUUCUAUUUCAGUAGAGGUAUUUCCUCUCUUCCUCUUGAGCAACAGCUAUUUCUGCCUGGCAAUAGUGUCUCUGUGCCCUGAAGAAAGCGUUUAACACAGAAGCUGCUGGUGCUGACGGCUCCAGCGGCUGCCGAUGGACCGGGAUCAAGCGCCAGAUCCCAGCCCCACAUCGCACUCCCAGGCUGGGGGUUUGGUCCAGCCCCCCGGGUGCUGGGGGGAAACGUGGGUUUUUCCUGCUGGUUGAGCAGAGCGGAUGAGGAAUUGGUGUGAAGCCCAGAGAGGGACGGGACGGGAGCGGUGCCCGUCCCAAACCUGCCGGGAGAGCAGCCACGCCACACGACAGCAUCAGAGCCGGUCCGGAAAAGGCAACAGCUUACUCGUGUGAUGCUCCAUCAGGGUCUCAGGGAUGGUAUUCCCUGGGAGCAUCCCUGCGGCUCUGCACGGCAUCCCCCGAGCCCCCAGAACCCUUUCACAUCGGGACAUUCGAGCACAUGAAUACACGUAUUCCCGCUUGCACGUGCUGCAGGACAGGGGUGUCUCAAGCAGGGAUCCCAAAACACCUCUGGGGUGUCUGAUGAGAGAGAAAAGCCUGAGGGCACGUCAGCCUGGAGAACCCCCAGUCCUGCCCCCAACGGCUGGCGUUGGUGACGGCAAUACUGGGAUGCACUGGCCGAGCUGGGCCUUAAACCGCAGCGGUGCCAGCGCCGGCUGAGCGCACCGACCCCAGCCAUCGCUCCCCCCCAGCAGGACUCCGCAAUCAUUUACUCCUCACCGGGGCAUGGCCGCUGGGUAACCCCCACCUGCCUGACCCGUGCUUCCCGCGGGAUUUAUAAACUUGUGGUAGUUCGGGUUGCUGGUUUUGGACGCGACACUGAGUCGGAGAUGGGGAACGCAGCGAUGGCUCCCAACAGGCACGGAGAGGGGCUGGUGUGCUCCGGGGGGUUAAUUAUUCACUGUGUUGCAUGGAGGAAGUGUAACCGCAGUAAAAACUCCACGGUGUUUAGGAGAACUCAGUUAAAAAUACUGCAGGGAUGGAUGGGAAUGUCACCGGCGCUUCGGAGGGUCAGUCCCGGGCGAUGCUCCUGCGGGAUGCCGUGCUGGGGCAGAACCCCACCGAGCGCUCAGUAUUUUUAGCCCGCUGCGGCUGUGCCUUGCUGGGCUCGUCUCCGUUCACGAGCCCUCUGCUUAUCGCAGCCGUCUUCCUAGAAAGCUAUUUAUGGAUCGCAACCAAGCUGCCUCCUGCCUUCCCUUGAAAGAGCUGUAAAGGCCACGGGGCCGGAGCCUCUCCCUGGCCGGUCGCUUUCCAGGAGCAGAGGUUAUCUGCAAAGGUAUGAGCCGACCGCGGAAUGGCAGCCGGGACGGGCUCAGCGGAGGGCGGAGAAGAGCCACCACCCUUGGCUGGAGGCAUCGCUGCAGCCACGCUGCUGACCUUCCGCCAGACCCCGCCGCAGGACUCCGGGUUUCCAAAGCGUUUUAAUAACAUGAAGUCAAUGGGAGUUGACCAGGCCGGGAAACGGGGCUUGGCAGCAGCGCUGAGCCCUCCUCUAUUCCAAGACCGAGUGAAACCGAACCCAGGCAGGACCCCCGGCGCGUGACUGCCAGUGUUCCCGCGUGGCUAAGCGCAGUCAUUCCUUCGGCC